rnacentral:rRNA from 1 species
UACGAAGGGUGCAACCGUUGCUCGGAAUUAUUGGGCGUAAAGCGCACGUAGGCGGCUUGGCAAGUCGGAUGUGAAAUCCCUCGGCUCAACCAAGGAAGUGCAUCCGAAACUGCUAAGCUUGAGUACUUAAGAGGAUCGCGGAAUUCCCGGUGUAGAGGUGAAAUUCGUAGAUAUCGGGAGGAACACCAGUGGCGAAGGCGGCGAUCUGGGAAGAUACUGACGCUGAGGUGCGAAAGCGUGGGGAGCAAACAGG